rnacentral:rRNA from 1 species
CAAUAGCGUAUAUUAAAGUUGUUGCAGUUAAAAAGCUCGUAGUUGAACCUUGGGUCUGGCUGGCCGGUCCGCCUCACCGCGAGUACUGGUCCGGCUGGACCUUUCCUUCUGGGGAACCUCAUGGCCUUCACUGGCUGUGGGGAGACCAGGACUUUUACUGUGAAAAAUUAGAGUGUUCAAAGCAGGCCUUUGCUCGAAUACAUUAGCAUGGAAUAAUAGAAUAGGACGUGUGGUUCUAUUUUGUUGGUUUCUAGGACCGCCGUAAUGAUUAACAGGGACAGUUGGGGCCGUUUAUAUUUCGUUGUCAGAGGUGAAAUUCUUGGAUUUACGAAAGAUAAACUUCUGCGAAAGCAUUCGGCAAGGAUGUUUUCAUUGAUCAAGAACGAAAGUUAGGGGAUCGAAGACGAUUAGAUACCA